CAAACCAACGGCACUCUACCACUAGGCCACAUUCCCAGACCUUUUCCACAACUUAAUAGGAACUGAUAUCUAACUUUACAUUGGUUGUCUUCUCUGAGAUUGCCAUAACACCCUGUGGUUUCCAUCUCUCAUGUCAAGCUGCCUUACCCUGCUAACAAUAGGAAAAGCAUGCCUACCAUCAUUCCUUCUAGGCUCUGUGUCAUAGGAAUAUAUUGUAUAUACAACAUAAAAAGACUUAUUUGGGGAAAGAUACCGAAAGAGUUCCUAAGAGCAGGAGUCACCUUCUAUCCCUAUGGGCUCAAGUAUCUGUAUAGUUCUAGUAGUCGUGGUCUAGUCCUAGACUGUCAAUGUAAGGAAAUAAGGAUUUAUGGUUACCUGAGAUCCAGCUUAUGAGUCUAGAAAAUCCCCUUUUCUAUGGAGCUCACAGGACUUCAUGUCUGCAUGUGACUAAGUGGAUAAUAUGGUAUUUUUCUUCAGUGAUACUCAACCAACCUGUACCUUCUUAGUCUCCUAUUUGUCCCUCCA